rnacentral:rRNA from 1 species
AGAUAGAAACCGACCUGGCUCACACCGGUUUAAACUCAGAUCAUGUAAAAUUUUAAAGGUCGAACAGACCUAGUAUAUUAGCUUCUUCACCAAUAACAAAUUUUAAUCCAACAUCGAGGUCGCAAUCUCUCUCUUCGAUAAGAACUCUAAAAAGAAUUACGCUGUUAUCCCUAAGGUAAUUUAAUCUUCUAAUCUAAAAUAUAGGAUCAUAAACUUAUACAUCAAUAUUUUCCUUAAAAAAAAGUUACUUAAAUUUUUUUAUCACCCCAACAAAACAUAUUCAAAUAUUAUAAACUACACAAUACCUACUAUCUAAAAUAAUCUAAUAUGUAAAACUCUAUAGGGUCUUCUCGUCUUCCAUAUUAAUUUAAGCUUUUUAACUUAAAAAUAAAAUUCUAAUAAAUUUUCAAAGAGACAGUCAUUUUUUCAUCAAACCUUUCAUUCAAGCUUCCAAUUAAAAAACUAGUGAUUAUGCUACCUUUGCACAGUCAAAUUACUGCGGCCAUUUAAACUAAUCAGUGGGCAGGCUAGACUUGAAAUCAUAAUCAACAAGCCAUGUUUUUAAUAAC